AGUGGCGCACGGGUGAGUAACACGUAGAUAACCUGUCCAGGUGUUCGGGAUAGCCCUUCGAAAGGGGGAUUAAUACCGGAUACGUUAGUUUGUCAUAAGGCAGAUUAAGAAAGGUGGCCUCUAUUUAUAAGCUAUCGCAUUUGGAGGGGUCUGCGUACCAUUAGUUUGUUGGUGGGGUAAUGGCCUACCAAGACUUCGAUGGUUAGCGGGUCUGAGAGGAUGAUCCGUCACACUGGCACUGAAACACGGGCCAGACUCCUACGGGAGGCAGCAGUGAGGAAUAUUGCGCAAUGGGGGAAACCCUGACGCAGCGACGCCGCGUGGGUGCGGAAGGCUUUCGGGUCGUAAAGCCCUGUCAGGUGGGAAGAAAUGUGUAUAGGCUAAUACCCUUUACAUUUGACGGUACCACCAAAGGAAGCACCGGCUAACUCCGUGCCAGCAGCCGCGGUAAUACGGAGGGUGCAAACGUUGUUCGGAAUCACUGGGCGUAAAGGGCGCGCAGGCGGUUUGAUUAGUCAGAUGUGAAAGCCCACGGCUUAACCGUGGAAGUGCAUUUGAAACUGUCAGACUUGAGUACCAGAGGGGGUAAUGGAAUUCCCGGUGUAGAGGUGAAAUUCGUAGAUAUCGGGAGGAAUACCGGUGGCGAAGGCGAUUACCUGGCUGGAUACUGACGCUGAGGCGCGAAAGCGUGGGAGCAAACAGGAUUAGAUACCCUGGUAGUCCACGCCGUAAACGAUGUCAACUAGAUGUAGGGGGUGUUGAUCCCCUCUGUGUCGCAGCUAACGCAUUAAGUUGACCGCCUGGGGAGUACGGUCGCAAGAUUAAAACUCAAAGGAAUUGACGGGGGCCCGCACAAGCGGUGGAGUAUGUGGUUUAAUUCGAUGCAACGCGAAGAACCUUACCUGGUCUUGACAUCCCAAGGUUCUCCUGGAAACAGGAGAGUGCUUUCUUUCGAGAGAACUUGGUGACAGGUGCUGCAUGGCUGUCGUCAGCUCGUGUCGUGAGAUGUUGGGUUAAGUCCCGCAACGAGCGCAACCCUCGCCAUUAGUUGCCAUCAUUUAGUUGGGCACUCUAAUGGGACUGCCGGGUCAAACCGGAGGAAGGUGGGGAUGACGUCAAGUCCUCAUGGCCUUUAUGACCAGGGCUACACACGUACUACAAUGGCCGGUAC
rnacentral:rRNA from 1 species